rnacentral:rRNA from 1 species
UGGGGAAUCUUGGACAAUGGGGGCAACCCUGAUCCAGCCAUGCCGCGUGAGUGAUGAAGGCCUUAGGGUCGUAAAGCUCUUUCGCCUGUGAAGAUAAUGACGGUAGCAGGUAAAGAAACCCCGGCUAACUCCGUGCCAGCAGCCGCGGUAAUACGGAGGGGGCGAGCGUUAUUCGGAAUUAUUGGGCGUAAAGGGCGCGUAGGCGGACCAGAAAGUUGGGGGUGAAAUCCCGGGGCUCAACCCGGAACUGCCUCCAAACUAUUGGUCUAGAGUUCGAGAGAGGUGAGUGGAAUUCCAAGUGUAGAGGUGAAAUUCGUAGAUAUUUGGAGGAACACCAGUGGCGAAGGCGGCUCACUGGCUCGAUACUGACGCUGAGGUGCGAAAGUGUGGGGAGCAAACAGGAUUAGAUACCCUGGUAGUCCACACCGUAAAACGAUGAAUGCCAGUCGUCGGGUAGCAUGCUAUUCGGUGACACACCUAACGGAUUAAGCAUUCCGCCUGGGGAGUACGGUCGCAAGAUUAAAAC